rnacentral:rRNA from 1 species
CUACGGGUUGCUCCAGUGGGGAAUCUUGGACAAUGGGCGCAAGCCUGAUCCAGCCAUGCCGCGUGAGUGAAGAAGGCCUUAGGGUCGUAAAGCUCUUUCGCCAGAGAUGAUAAUGACAGUAUCUGGUAAAGAAACCCCGGCUAACUCCGUGCCAGCAGCCGCGGUAAUACGGAGGGGGUUAGCGUUGUUCGGAAUUACUGGGCGUAAAGCGCGCGUAGGCGGAUUAGUCAGUCAGAGGUGAAAUCCCAGGGCUCAACCCUGGAACUGCCUUUGAUACUGCUAGUCUUGAGUUCGAGAGAGGUGAGUGGAAUUCCGAGUGUAGAGGUGAAAUUCGUAGAUAUUCGGAGGAACACCAGUGGCGAAGGCGGCUCACUGGCUCGAUACUGACGCUGAGGUGCGAAAGUGUGGGGAGCAAACAGGAUUAGAUACCCGCGUAGUC